UACGUAGGGGGCAAGCGUUGUCCGGAAUCAUUGGGCGUAAAGAGCGUGUAGGCGGCCCGGUAAGUCCGCUGUGAAAGUCGAGGGCUCAACCCUCGAAUGCCGGCGGAUACUGUCGGGCUAGAGUCCGGAAGAGGCGAGUGGAAUUCCUGGUGUAGCGGUGAAAUGCGCAGAUAUCAGGAGGAACACCUACGGCGAAGGCAGCUCGCUGGGACGGUACUGACGCUGAGACGCGAAAGCAUGGGGAGCGAACAGG
rnacentral:rRNA from 1 species